rnacentral:rRNA from 1 species
AGUGAACGCUGGCGGCAGGCCUAACACAUGCAAGUCGAGCGGCAGCGCGUCCGACCACCCUCGGGUGGUCGGAUGGCGGCGAGCGGCGGACGGGUGAGGAAUGCAUCGGAAUCUGCCUCGUUGUGGGGGAUAACGUAGGGAAACUUACGCUAAUACCGCAUACGACCUACGGGUGAAAGUGGGGGACCUUCGGGCCUCACGCGAUGAGAUGAGCCGAUGCCGGAUUAGCUAGUUGGCGGGGUAAAGGCCCACCAAGGCGACGAUCUGUAGCGGGUCUGAGAGGAUGAUCCGCCACACUGGAACUGAGACACGGUCCAGACUCCUACGGGAGGCAGCAGUGGGGAAUUUUGGACAAUGGGCGCAAGCCUGAUCCAGCCAUGCCGCGUGAGUGAAGAAGGCCUUCGGGUUGUAAAGCUCUUUCGGCCGGGAAGAAAUCGCACAGGUUAAUACCCUGUGUGGAUGACGGUACCGGAAUAAGAAGCACCGGCUAACUACGUG